GACGAACGCUGGCGGCGUGCUUAACACAUGCAAGUCGAACGGAAAGGCCCUGCUUUUGUGGGGUGCUCGAGUGGCGAACGGGUGAGUAACACGUGAGUAACCUGCCCUUGACUUUGGGAUAACUUCAGGAAACUGGGGCUAAUACCGGAUAGGAGCUCCUGCUGCAUGGUGGGGGUUGGAAAGUUUCGGCGGUUGGGGAUGGACUCGCGGCUUAUCAGCUUGUUGGUGGGGUAGUGGCUUACCAAGGCUUUGACGGGUAGCCGGCCUGAGAGGGUGACCGGCCACAUUGCGACUGAGAUACGGCCCAGACUCCUACGGGAGGCAGCAGUGGGGAAUAUUGCACAAUGGGCGGAAGCCUGAUGCAGCAACGCCGCGUGCGGGAUGACGGCCUUCGGGUUGUAAACCGCUUUCGCCUGUAACGAAGCGUGAGUGACGGUAAUGGGUAAAGAAGCACCGGCUAACUACGUG
rnacentral:rRNA from 1 species